rnacentral:rRNA from 1 species
UUUAUGGAGAGUUUGAUCCUGGCUCAGGAUGAACGCUGGCGGCGUGCCUAAUACAUGCAAGUCGAGCGAACGGACGAGAAGCUUGCUUCUCUGAUGUUAGCGGCGGACGGGUGAGUAACACGUGGAUAACCUACCUAUAAGACUGGGAUAACUUCGGGAAACCGGAGCUAAUACCGGAUAAUAUUUUGAACCGCAUGGUUCAAAAGUGAAAGACGGUCUUGCUGUCACUUAUAGAUGGAUCCGCGCUGCAUUAGCUAGUUGGUAAGGUAACGGCUUACCAAGGCAACGAUGCAUAGCCGACCUGAGAGGGUGAUCGGCCACACUGGAACUGAGACACGGUCCAGACUCCUACGGGAGGCAGCAGUAGGGAAUCUUCCGCAAUGGGCGAAAGCCUGACGGAGCAACGCCGCGUGAGUGAUGAAGGUCUUCGGAUCGUAAAACUCUGUUAUUAGGGAAGAACAUAUGUGUAAGUAACUGUGCACAUCUUGACGGUACCUAAUCAGAAAGCCACGGCUAACUACGUGCCAGCAGCCGCGGUAAUACGUAGGUGGCAAGCGUUAUCCGGAAUUAUUGGGCGUAAAGCGCGCGUAGGCGGUUUUUUAAGUCUGAUGUGAAAGCCCACGGCUCAACCGUGGAGGGUCAUUGGAAACUGGAAAACUUGAGUGCAGAAGAGGAAAGUGGAAUUCCAUGUGUAGCGGUGAAAUGCGCAGAGAUAUGGAGGAACACCAGUGGCGAAGGCGACUUUCUGGUCUGUAACUGACGCUGAUGUGCGAAAGCGUGGGGAUCAAACAGGAUUAGAUACCCUGGUAGUCCACGCCGUAAACGAUGAGUGCUAAGUGUUAGGGGGUUUCCGCCCCUUAGUGCUGCAGCUAACGCAUUAAGCACUCCGCCUGGGGAGUACGACCGCAAGGUUGAAACUCAAAGGAAUUGACGGGGACCCGCACAAGCGGUGGAGCAUGUGGUUUAAUUCGAAGCAACGCGAAGAACCUUACCAAAUCUUGACAUCCUUUGACAACUCUAGAGAUAGAGCCUUCCCCUUCGGGGGACAAAGUGACA